AGAAUUUCAAAGAAAAAAACAGAGAGCCUUCUCUUGCUCUCUCUCCCUCCCCUUUUCUCUCCUUGACCUGCCUUUGGCUCGCCGGUGGUUCACCAUGCCUACACCAUGACCGGUGGUCGGAACCGCGAGGAUUCGGGUGACAGAUGAGUGUCAGGCGCAUAGAGGGGGGCUAUUGUGUGGCGGUGGUGGCUCGCGUAAGAGGAGCAACGGCUGAAAGUCUGCAACUAGGUUUUUUGCUGCUGAAAAUGUUUAGUUUAUUGGGCUAGAUGGGCUUUAGGGUUUUUUUAUUGUUUGGUCAUUUGAUGUGGAAAUUGGGCCUGCUGUUUUAGUUUUGUAAUUUGGACUUUAUUUGAUUUAUUUAAUUAUUUAUUUGGGUUUUAUUUGAUAAAUCGGGUCAGGCCAAAAUUGACCCAUUACAGCUGCCCCUAUUUGCUCAUUGUCGUGUAACGAGAAUAGAGUAAAGACUUUAAAAGGGCCAAUUUUGCCCGAAACUUGGCUUCUUUGGUACUUCUCUUUCUCAAAGAGUUUCAUUCCAUCCCACUGGAUCUUCAGGGGUAUAAGAAUUUAUCUUCAAUAAUCCCAUAUAA